UACGGGGGGGGCAAGCGUUGUUCGGAAUUACUGGGCGUAAAGGGCGCGUAGGCGGUCAGCACAAGUCAGUUGUGAAAUCUCCGGGCUUAACUCGGAAAGGUCAACUGAUACUGUGCGACUAGAGUGCGGAAGGGGCAACUGGAAUUCUUGGUGUAGCGGUGAAAUGCGUAGAUAUCAAGAGGAACACCUGCGGCGAAGGCGGGUUGCUGGGCCGACACUGACGCUGAUGCGCGAAAGCCAGGGGAGCGAACGGG
rnacentral:rRNA from 1 species